rnacentral:rRNA from 1 species
AGAGUUUGAUCAUGGCUCAGGACGAACGCUGGCGGCGUGCCUAACACAUGCAAGUCGAACGGAGAUAUGCGAACGAGGCCUUCGGGCGGAGAUUGCAUAUUUUAGUGGCGGACGGGCGAGUAACGCGUGAGCAACCUGCCCUUCAGAGGGGGAUAACGGCUGGAAACGGCCGCUAAUACCGCAUGACAUAUACACAAGGCAUCUUGAGUAUAUCAAAGGAGGAAUCCGCUGAAGGAUGGGCUCGCGUCCGAUUAGCUGGUUGGUGAGGUAACGGCUCACCAAGGCGACGAUCGGUAGCCGAACUGAGAGGUUGAUCGGCCGCAUUGGGACUGAGACACGGCCCAGACUCCUACGGGAGGCAGCAGUGGGGGAUAUUGCACAAUGGAGGAAACUCUGAUGCAGCGACGCCGCGUGGGGGAAGAAGGUCUUCGGAUUGUAAACCUCAGUAGUCAGGGAAGAAGCAAGUGACGGUACCUGAAGAGUAAGCUCCGGCUAACUACGUGCCAGCAGCCGCGGUAAUACGUAGGGAGCGAGCGUUGUCCGGAAUUACUGGGUGUAAAGGGUGCGUAGGCGGGUCAGCAAGUCAGGCGUGAAAUACCGGGGCUCAACUCCGGGGCUGCGCUUGAAACUGUUGGUCUUGAGUGAAGUAGAGGCAGGCGGAAUUCCUAGUGUAGCGGUGAAAUGCGUAGAUAUUAGGAGGAACACCAGUGGCGAAGGCGGCCUGCUGGGCUUUAACUGACGCUGAUGCACGAAAGCAUGGGGAGCAAACAGGAUUAGAUACCCUGGUAGUCCAUGCCGUAAACGAUGAUAGCUAGGUGUGGGGGGUUAUAUGCCGUCCGUGCCGGAGUUAACACAAUAAGCUAUCCACCUGGGGAGUACGGCCGCAAGGCUAAAACUCAAAUGAAUUGACGG